rnacentral:tRNA from 1 species
GUUAAUGUAGCUUAAACCAAAGCAUGGCACUGAAGAUGCCAAGAUGGACCGUGAAAAGUCCCAAUAACA